UACGUAGGUGGCAAGCGUUGUCCGGAAUCAUUGGGCGUAAAGCGCGCGUAGGCGGCCAGAUAAGUCCGGUGUGAAAGUCACAGGCUCAACCUGUGAAUGCCGCUGGAAACUGUCUGGCUAGAGUCCGGAAGGGGCGAGUGGAAUUCCUGGUGUAGCGGUGAAAUGCGCAGAUAUCAGGAGGAACACCAAUGGCGAAGGCAGCUCGCUGGAACGGUACUGACGCUGAGGCGCGAAAGCGUGGGGAGCGAACAGG
rnacentral:rRNA from 1 species